rnacentral:rRNA from 1 species
UACGGGGGGAGCAAGCGUUGUUCGGAUUUACUGGGCGUAAAGGGCGCGUAGGCGGUCGUGACAAGUCACUUGUGAAAUCUCCGGGCUUAACUCGGAACGGUCAAGUGAUACUGGUCGGACUAGAGUACAGAAGGGGCAACUGGAAUUCUCGGUGUAGCAGUGAAAUGCGUAGAUAUCGAGAGGAACACCAGUGGCGAAGGCGAGUCUCUGGACGACUCCUGACACUGAGGCACGGAAAGCUGGGGGAGCA